GUGAAAUGGAGAGGGUUUAGGAGUAGUAGUAGAGGGGUAUUUUGUUAGUAUUUGGAGGAAUUUAGUAGAUGGUAUGAUAAUAGUUAUUUAUUAGUAAAUGGAGUGAUUAAGGGAUAUAGAGAGAGGUUUUUAGGAAUUGUGUUGUUGGUAUUUUAGGGUUUUUGUUAGUUGUGAUUUUUUUUUUUAGAUGGAGUUUUGUUUUGUUGUUAGGUUGGAGUGUAGUGGUGUGA
rnacentral:misc_RNA from 1 species